AAGGCUGACAGGAAUGGUAAACGGUGUUCCUCUCUUUCUUCCUCACCCUCUCCUUCAACAGAAUCCACACCAAUCUCCUCAUAAUUCUUCUCCAGGGCAGCUAUGUCCUCAGAGGCCUCAAAAAACUCUCCUUCCUCCAUGCUUUCACCCACUUACCAGUGAAUAAAUCAUACAUACAUCAGGUGAAUCUUGGGGUCCAGGCGAGCCCAGGACUCAGCAAUGGCUGUGGUAUUGCUCAGCAUGCACACAGCUCAUUGUACUUUGGCCAGGUCUCCACCAGCUACCACAGUGAGAGACCUGUAAUCAAUACCAACUUUGAAGCCAGUGGGGUACCAUCCCACAAAGGGGAUGCUUGGUCUUGUUGGUGGCAAUGGCAGCACUGACAUCUUUGGGAACCACAUCGCCAUGGUACAACAGGCAGCAAGCCAUGUAUUUACCAUGGUGAGGGUCACAUUUCACCAUCUGGCUUUCUGGCUCAACUCACAUACUAGUGGUCUCUGCUCAGAGGACUGUUCAUGGUAGGUUUUCUCAGUAGAGAUGGCAAGGGCAUAUAUGGCCAGAGGGAAAUGGAUG
rnacentral:lncRNA from 1 species